UAAAUUGAGAGUUUGAUCCUGGCUCAGGACGAACGCUGGCGGCGUGCCUAACACAUGCAAGUCGAGCGAGGAACUUCGGUUCCUAGCGGCGGACGGGUGAGUAACACGUGGGCAACCUACCUCAUAGAGGGGGAUAGCCUCCCGAAAGGGAGAUUAAUACCGCAUAAUACUGCGGUUUCGCAUGAAACUACAGUUAAAGGAGCAAUCCGCUAUGAGAUGGGCCCGCGGCGCAUUAGCUAGUUGGUGAGGUAACGGCUCACCAAGGCGACGAUGCGUAGCCGACCUGAGAGGGUGAUCGGCCACAUUGGAACUGAGACACGGUCCAGACUCCUACGGGAGGCAGCAGUGGGGAAUAUUGCA
rnacentral:ncRNA from 1 species